CGGCCACAUUGGGACUGAGACACGGCCCAGACUCCUACGGGAGGCAGCAGUGGGGAAUAUUGCACAAUGGGGGAAACCCUGAUGCAGCGACGCCGCGUGGAGGGAGAAGGUCUUCGGAUUGUAAACUCCUGUUGUUGAGGAAGAUAAUGACGGUACUCAACAAGGAAGUGACGGCUAACUACGUGCCAGCAGCCGCGGUAAAACGUAGGUCACAAGCGUUGUCCGGAAUUACUGGGUGUAAAGGGAGCGCAGGCGGGCGAUCAAGUUGGAAGUGAAAUCCAUGGGCUCAACCCAUGAACUGCUUUCAAAACUGAUUGUCUUGAGUAGUGCAGAGGUAGGCGGAAUUCCCGGUGUAGCGGUGGAAUGCGUAGAUAUCGGGAGGAACACCAGUGGCGAAGGCGGCCUACUGGGCACCAACUGACGCUGAGGCUCGAAAGUGUGGGUAGCAAACAGGAUUAGAUACCCUGGUAGUCCACACCGUAAACGAUGAUUACUAGGUGUUGGAGGAUUGACCCCUUCAGUGCCGCAGUUAACACAAUAAGUAAUCCACCUGGGGAGUACGACCGCAAGGUUGAAACUCAAAGGAAUUGACGGGGGCCCGCACAAGCAGUGGAGUAUGUGGUUUAAUUCGACGCAACGCGAAGAACCUUACCAAGUCUUGACAUCCUGCGACGAUGCUAGAAAUAGUAUUUUCCUUCGGGACGCAGAGACAGGUGGUGCAUGGUUGUCGUCAGCUCGUGUCGUGAGAUGUUGGGUUAAGUCCCGCAACGAGCGCAACCCUUAUGGUCAGUUACUACGCAAGAGGACUCUGGCCAGACUGCCGUUGACAAAACGGAGGAAGGUGGGGAUGACGUCAAAUCAUCAUGCCCUUUAUGACUUGGGCUACACACGUACUACAAUGGCGUUAAACAAAGAGAAGCAAGACCGCGAGGUGGAGCAAAACUCAGAAACAACGUCCCAGUUCGGACUGCAGGCUGCAACUCGCCUGCACGAAGUCGGAAUUGCUAGUAAUCGUGGAUCAGCAUGCCACGGUGAAUACGUUCCCGGGCCUUGUACACACCGCCCGUCACACCAUGAGAGCCGGGGGGACCCGAAGUCGGUAGUCUAACCGCAAGGAGGACGCCGCCGAAGGUAAAACUGGUGAUUGGGGUGAAGUCGAAACAAGGUAGCCGUAGGAGAACCUGCGGCUG
rnacentral:rRNA from 1 species